ACAAAGAAAACAUGCCAAGGGAGGGUACAUAAAGGAGUCGCCUGCCACAUCCCAGGCGCUUCACAAGUCACCGCAGCCUGCUAAGCGCCUUCCCUCCUCAGAAGACACAUAGUCACAACAGAGGAGCACCAGGAAAUUGCUGCUAGAUCACAUCAGAGAAGAAAUGGAGAAUUUAUAUCCUUCUGAAC
rnacentral:lncRNA from 11 species